AUAGGCCUCUGUGAAGCCUGAACUCCAGUAGGGCCCAAGCUAGCCAGGAAGGAGGAGGCAGCCAGAGUGGCUACCACUGGUCUCUGCAGCAGAAGACCCCCUGCUGCCAGUGUCAAUAGGCAAACAGGAGAGGAAGAGGCAGUGCGUGGGACAGGCUGGGAGAUGUCUUGACAGUCUGCAUAUGUGUGGAAGAUUUAUUUAUAUAGUGUACAUUUCCAGAUGCUUUCCUGGUGUGGUUCUCCUCUCCUGCUGUAGGUCUCUCAAAGGUAAGAUAGUUCUCAAAGAGACAGACAUGUUGCAGCGGGAUGGCAAUUUUGUGCCACAGUGCUCAUUGCUCAGGACUGAGUGCCAAGGGAGAAGCAAGUGGACACUUUCAAUCAUUCUGGUUUCAUACAGUCAUACACAUGGUGUGUUACUUGGACAAUAACUUUGCCCAGACAGCUUUCUUAUGCCUUGAAUUUCUUUGGGGAGCCUUUUAGUCAUGCUGGUGCUAUUGUUUGUGUUAUUUCUCUGUAAUGGACUGGAGGCAUGUUAAGGCUUCUGCUCAGGUGCUUUUCAUAACCACACAGGUGACAGAUCUCCUGAGGGAGUGGCAUUAGUUGCAUGAUUUGUAAACACAGUGCCUGAACAAAUCAGAGGAGCAAAAUUCAGGCCAGCAUGUGUGCAAGUGCAGAGAAUAACCCUCUCCAGACAAGGAACAGUUAAUGCAACUCCUUUCUCAUCACAAAAGAACUAAGUGGGUGAUAGGAACUCAAAGGUAUACUCAUUAAAAUUACUGAUUGCUUUACCAGGCUCUUCUGACCUGAGAGAUACCGCACCUGGACAUUCAUUCACUCCAUUUGCAUACAGUUUGCUUUUGACCCAUUCAAAUCAUUGAAGCUAUUCUCAUGUGCAGUGAAAAAUGGGCUAGGGAAGGCUAGCCUGCUUUUCGUUAUGCGUGAGAACUACUGAGAGCCGUGCAGCUCCUGCCACCAGCAAGCCCUCUAAAGUCGCCUGCUCCUUAGCCAGGGUUUGGGGCCCAAAUGAGUGCCCCCAAACUGGGCUAAGUGAUAAUGUGUCUGCCAUGGCUGCUUGAAGCCACAGUGGGCACACUUGUGGGGAGUGGGGUCCCAGUAAUGCACCGCACACUUGUGUGGUGCAUUAUUGGGGCUCUGGGGGGCAGUGCUGCGCAGUGGUGCUUCCCUGAGCCUGACCCCUGGAGCUGCCAGAUGAGCUGUGGAAGAGCUGGAACCAAGCUGCUGCAUGUCUGGGUGGGCAAUCUGCCCGCCCAGCAAAUGGUGAGUGCUCGUCUGCGGGGAGGGUCAGGCAAAUCCACUCUCCCUGCAAAUCUCCUUUCAGUGCUUCACACUGCUUGUGUGAAGCACCUCAUUGUGUUUUACUCAAGCACAGACAAUGAAGCCUUUUGAGAUUCACCAAAGUUGCCCUUCUUCCCAGGAAAGAAGAGGCACUGGAAUGUUGCCACAGGACACAUUUUGGGUUAUAAUUGCCCCUGGUUCUUGAACUAGUGUGCUUCAUUUGGUUCCUACACCUUGGAGUCACCAUGUUUUGGACGCUAGACCUGGCACCUGCUGUAAUAUCUUGUCAUGCCUUGCUCUGCGUGCCAAUCACGAUUCCUUGCAGGCUCAAUCCAUCCAGCUUGCCUAGCUGCCACAAGGAGCAGGCUACACAAGAACAUACAGCUUUUAGAUUUAGCCCUGCUAUCUAACCCUCAAGCUGCCUUCAGUUUUUCAUCGCCUGGUUCCAUCCCUGAGGAGAGAGGUCUUUUGGUUGCACCUGAGCCAUGAGGGUCCAAUCACCACUAAAGGAAGGACAAGGUUGUAUGAUAAUCACUGGGCCCCUCUGGGCUUUAUCUAUCCCUUCUCCUUUUCUUGAAUCCAAAAAUUUGUUUCUCUCACGCCUCCUUUCUCUAGCCAGCCUGGAAGUCAUUUUAAUUCAGACACUAAGCUACAUUUCCUUUUUGCAGAUAUCUGGUUCAUCGUGUAACAUAUUUUUGGUAGUAAUAUUGCUUUAAUCAACUUUCUUAUUCCCUGAACCCCAAAUGAAACCUUACUUUGUUUUGAACGUCAGCCUCUCUGUCAAUUCAUUUUCCUGUAACCCAAGCUUUGCACAAAAAUUAUUAUGACGUGGGACUGCUCCACCCCACCUCACUAAUUCCCCACUCAAAGCCCGAAUGCAUUUAGGGGUGUUCGCCAAUCACCCUGGUGUAGUUUCAUUAACAGCCUCAGGCUGUUAAUCAUGGAAGUACCCAUCGUCAUGCUUAUGGCGUUUACCUCUUCAGAUGAACACCAUAAUCGUGAGCAGCA